AUGUCAAAUCAUCAUGCCCCUUAUGUCUUGGGCUUCACACGUGCUACAAUGGCUCAUACAGCGUGAAGCUAGGCAGCGAUGCCGCGCGGACCACAAAAGGGAGCCUCAGUUCGGAUUGCAGGCUGCAACCCGCCUGCAUGAAGUUGGAAUCGCUAGUAAUCGCGAAUCAGCAUGUCGCGGUGAAUACGUUCCCGGGCCUU
rnacentral:rRNA from 1 species